GACGAACGCUGGCGGCGUGCUUAACACAUGCAAGUCGAACGGUGAACCUCUUCGGAGGGGAUCAGUGGCGAACGGGUGAGUAACACGUGGGCAACCUGCCCCCGGCUCUGGGAUAACUCCAAGAAAUUGGGGCUAAUACCGGAUGUUCACCGCUUCCCGCAUGGGUGGUGGUGGAAGGGGUUCCCGGCGGGGGAUGGGCCCGCGGCCUAUCAGCUGGUUGGUGGGGUAGUGGCUUACCAAGGCGACGACGGGUAGCCGGCCUGAGAGGGUGACCGGCCACACUGGGACUGAGACACGGCCCAGACUCCUACGGGAGGCAGCAGUGGGGAAUAUUGCGCAAUGGGCGGAAGCCUGACGCAGCGACGCCGCGUGGGGGAUGACGGCCUUCGGGUUGUAAACCUCUUUCAGCAGGGACGAAGCGCAAGUGACGGUACCUGCAGGAGAAGCACCGGCCAACUACGUG
rnacentral:rRNA from 1 species